CCUACGGGUGGCAGCAGUAGGGAAUAUUGCUCAAUGGGGGAAACCCUGACGCAGCAACGCCGCGUGGAGGAUGAAGGUUUUCGGAUUGUAAACUUCUUUUGUUAGAGAAGAUAAUGACGGUAUCUAACGAAUAAACACCGGCUAACUCCGCGCCAGCAGCCGCGGUAAUACGGAGGGUGCAAGCGUUACUCGGAAUCAUUGGGCGUAAAGAGCGCGUAGGCGGGAUAGCAAGUCAGAUGUGAAAUCCUAAGGCUUAACCAUCGAACUGCAUUUGAAACUGUUAUUCUAGAGUAUUGGAGAGGUAGGUGGAAUUCUUGGUGUAGCGGUGAAAUGCGUAGAGAUCAGGAGGAAUACUCGUUGCGAAGGCGAUCUGCUAGAACAUAACUGACGGUGAUGCGCGAAAGCGUGGGGAGCAAACAGGAUUAGAUACCCGAGUAGUC
rnacentral:rRNA from 1 species